rnacentral:rRNA from 1 species
AGUGGGGAAUCUUGGACAAUGGGCGCAAGCCUGAUCCAGCCAUGCCGCGUGAGUGAUGAAGGCCCUAGGGUCGUAAAGCUCUUUCGCCAGGGAUGAUAAUGACAGUACCUGGUAAAGAAACCCCGGCUAACUCCGUGCCAGCAGCCGCGGUAAUACGGAGGGGGUUAGCGUUGUUCGGAAUUACUGGGCGUAAAGCGUACGUAGGCGGAUUAGUUAGUCAGAGGUGAAAUCCCAGGGCUCAACCCUGGAACUGCCUUUGAUACUGCUAGUCUUGAGUUCGAGAGAGGUGAGUGGAAUUCCGAGUGUAGAGGUGAAAUUCGUAGAUAUUCGGAGGAACACCAGUGGCGAAGGCGGCUCACUGGCUCGAUACUGACGCUGAGGUACGAAAGUGUGGGGAGCAAA